CUGACAUCCGACGUGGGGUAGCUCUUGGCCGCGCUUAGUGCGCCGGCCCGCCGCCGCUGCCUGCGCUUAGUGCGCCCCUGAGCUGCUAUUUUAUAUGCAGUAAUAUGUGUAUUAAAUACGUCGAUCCCAAUCUCCCAGUUUGUCCUUCCCCACUUGCUGGCUGUCUCAGAAAGAAAUGGUAAAAACAAAUCUCUCAGAAGUUAAUCAGCCUCACUGUCUGGGGACCAUCCAUCCAGAGGACAUGUCAGGACAGGGCGGAAAUAAAAAUGUGCUUUGUGGAACAGAGAGAACAAUAUGAUGGAUUCAUGGAUAACUCUCACGCUUGCUGUCAUGCAGCCAUGAAGGAAGAGGGUAAUAUUGGAAUUGUACUAAAGUGUACUGGAUUUGACUGAAUGGCUGGUAGGCAGUAAUUCUUCCCAGCCCCGUGAAUCCCAGCAAUCCAUCAAGGAGCAUUACUGGCGAAAAUGACAAAAAAAUGUCAUAAACCUUCCUUUCAUUUGAUUCCUGUUGAUGUGAGGACUCCUGCAGUUUAAGCAGAUUAUGCUCCUGAACUGGAGCUUGGUUGAAUGAUUAAAAGAUAAAACACUUCCAUUUAAAUCUUUACCUAAAUUUAUCAGCCUGGAUUUUCU
rnacentral:lncRNA from 1 species